rnacentral:rRNA from 1 species
GAUGAACGCUGGCGGCGUGCCUAAUACAUGCAAGUCGAGCGAACAGACGAGGAGCUUGCUCCUUCGACGUUAGCGGCGGACGGGUGAGUAACACGUAGGUAACCUACCUAUAAGACUGGGAUAACUUCGGGAAACCGGAGCUAAUACCGGAUAAUAUUUCGAACCGCAUGGUUCGAUAGUGAAAGAUGGCUUUGCUAUCGCUUAUAGAUGGACCUGCGCCGUAUUAGCUAGUUGGUAAGGUAACGGCUUACCAAGGCAACGAUACGUAGCCGACCUGAGAGGGUGAUCGGCCACACUGGAACUGAGACACGGUCCAGACUCCUACGGGAGGCAGCAGUAGGGAAUCUUCCGCAAUGGGCGAAAGCCUGACGGAGCAACGCCGCGUGAGUGAUGAAGGUCUUCGGAUCGUAAAACUCUGUUAUUAGGGAAGAACAAACGUGUAAGUAACUGUGCACGUCUUGACGGUACCUAAUCAGAAAGCCACGGCUAACUACGUG